AGGCAGGAGAUCCCGCCCCGGAGCGCUCCUGCCUUCCAAUUCCCAACACGGGAACUGCCAGGAGACAGCGCAGGGGCUUCCCACCCAGGGGGAACGCGGCGUCCUCCGCUUCUUGCUGCUCGUGGUGGAGUUCAGAGAUGAAGCAACACCAUAAAUAACCCUGAGGGCCUCGUGGAGUCCAUGCUUCGCGCACUUCUGGCUCAUUGUCACUGCUGUCUGAAAAGAGGGAGGAACCACUCCUUGGGCUUGAAGGAAAGGAAAGCCAAAGAAGGCAAAGAGUUCACACCAAUGGACACCUUACAAGAAAAAAGAUUGCAACUGCAUCUUCAAGUUUUUCUUAAGAGUCUCCUGUUGUAAGCUUUACCUCAAUAAAUACUCUCAGAUUUUC